GUUUCCCGAAGGGUGAGAUGUGAACAUCGGCACCAUGCUAGGUGCUGGGGAAACAGCCAUGAGCCAGGCAGCGAAACUCAGCCCGUGUGGGGUUCACGUUCUCCUGCGGGAAGAUGGACCGUGAAUGCAGAAACGAGUGCGACAUACGGCGUGUCCAACUGUGCGUGCCAUGGAAGAAGGGACAGGAAUCCGCUCCCGGCCUGGGGACAGCAGAAGGGGCAGCCUUGCUGGGAUGAAGAGCCUAGAAGUGGCAAUGAGGGAGCGGGAAGCAGCGAGAGAUCUGACCUUUGACUCUGCGCCUGGGCUCCUAGAUGCCUGACGCCGGGGAAGAGCUGCCCGCCCCACCCUGUCCCUGCUGCUCCAGGCCCCUGAGGGAAGGGCUGGAGUCUGGUGAGCUGUCUCCAGCAGCUCCUGGCCUGUCGGGGCUGGAAGGCUGGAGAGGGGUGAGCGGCUGAGCCGCAGCGAGGCAGGAUGGUGGCUCUGGGCCCCCAGGUCCUGCUCAGACCCAUGGGGGCGCGGAAGCCCACCCUUGGCCCCUCCAUCUGCCCUUGUGCCCUGUCUGCUGCCUCCGCCCUGCCUGCCUUCCCGCCAUGCACUUCCCAGCCCCUCAUGUCUCCUCCCAUCUCCAGCCUUUGCAUGAGCUGUUCCCAAGGCCGGGACCCCCUUCCCCUGCUUUCAGACUCCUACUCGCCGCCUAAGGCCCUCCCAGAAAAGCCCACCCUGUGAUCUGGCUCUGUGCUCCCACAGCCCAGUGCAACGCUCAUCUCUGGACCCCGCCAGGCUCUGAGACCCUGAGGCCCGGGACCCAGGCGGUGCCAGCUGUGUCACCCAGGAACUGUGGGUUCCCAGCAAAUGCUUCCUGAAAGCAGGAAGGAAGGCAGGAACAUGUCUUCCCAAACUUCGCAUGUCUCUAAAGGAGGACGAUGUCUCUAGU